AGCAGCAGCCACGGGAAUACAGAGGGUGCGAGCGUUAAUCGGAUUUACUGGGCGUAAAGCGUGCGUAGGCGGCUUCUUAAGUCGGAUGUGAAAUCCCUGAGCUUAACUUAGGAAUUGCAUUCGAUACUGGGAAGCUAGAGUAUGGGAGAGGAUGGUAGAAUUCCAGGUGUAGCGGUGAAAUGCGUAGAGAUCUGGAGGAAUACCGAUGGCGAAGGCAGCCAUCUGGCCUAAUACUGACGCUGAGGUACGAAAGCAUGGGGAGCAAACAGGAUUAGAUACCGUGUAGUCCCUGUCUCUUAUACC
rnacentral:rRNA from 1 species